rnacentral:rRNA from 1 species
GGAGUCUGGGCCGUAUCUCAGUCCCAAUGUGGCCGAUCACCCUCUCAGGCCGGCUACCAAUCGUCGCCUUGGUGGGCCGUUACCUCACCAACUAGCUAAUUGGACGCGGGUCCAUCCUGUACCACCGGAGUUUUUACCCCUGCACCAUGCGGUGCUGUGGUCUUAUGCGGUAUUAACAGUCGUUUCCAACUGUUAUCCCCCUGUACAGGGCAGGUUACCCACGCGUUACUCACCCGUGCGCCGGUCGCCAUCAAUCUUAGCAAGCUAAGAUCAUGCUGCCCCUCGACUUGCAUGUGUUAAGCCUGUAGCUAGCGUUCAUC